UGGAUGGCUGAAUCAUAACAGAGAUGACGGCAUUAAUCCAAGGACAGCUGUUUCUUAUCACAUCUAACACACAAGAAAGCUCGAGCCGGGCAGGAGUUUUUGCCUCAGCUGAAGAUGGGACCAAUAGGAUCUGAAGCAGAGAUGCUUCUGGACAGGUGCAAGUAGGGAAGGAGAAAGACGAACUGCCCAUGAGGGACUAAACCUUUGAUUUUUAGAACUAUAUCUGUCUGAUGUGUAAGAGUUGCUUCUGGCCCUUUGGGAUGCUCAGGAAGUUCCAGUUAUAAGGAGGCAAGGUAAGCCGCCCAGGUGCCAAGAGUUCAGGGGCACGCCAAGGAUGCUCCCCAGGGAGCUGGGAGUCGCCUCCUGAAGAAACCUCCAUGGAUGCUUGCCUGCCGCAGGUGCCCAAAGUCCACCGUUGAGGAAUGACUUCUUUGAACUCAGGCAGGAGCUUCCACCCAAGGCCCUAGGAACCACUGCAGCCCUCAUCCAGCUUCUCCUCAGCUUGGGCUGAUUCAUCUCCCCUGCUCGGAUCUAAGGUGCU
rnacentral:lncRNA from 1 species